rnacentral:misc_RNA from 1 species
GUGAAUCAUCGAAUCUUUGAACGCACAUUGCGCUUUUUUCGGAAGGCAUGUCUGUUUGAGGGCACCAUUUAACAAAUAAUGUGCAUUUCGUGUGCACUGGUUGAUGAGUUUUUCAAAAUUAUGUAUUAUUAUUUUUGGUGGCGCAUAUUUAACAGCGCGAUGCUUUUUUUCCGUUCCAGUGUAGUAAAAUUUUUUCUUGCUUGGGUUGUGAAAAGCGUGUUCGCGAAAUGGGUGUGGCGCUUCG